UACGGGGGGAGCAAGCGUUGUUCGGAUUUACUGGGCGUAAAGGGCGCGUAGGCGGCCACCGCAAGUCGACUGUGAAAUCUCCGGGCUUAACUCGGAAAGGUCAGCCGAUACUGCGGGGCUAGAGUGCAGAAGGGGCAACUGGAAUUCUCGGUGUAGCGGUGAAAUGCGUAGAUAUCGAGAGGAACACCUGCGGCGAAGGCGGGUUGCUGGGCCGACACUGACGCUGAGGCGCGAAAGCCAGGGGAGCGAACAGG
rnacentral:rRNA from 1 species